AAUCCUAGCAGCCAUACACUCUCCAAUUUUCCAAUUCCAGAUUCCUCAAUCCCUUCUUCUCUAGGGUUUACUUUUUUCUUCUUCCUGCAACCUUCCUCGAUGGUUUCCUCGAUUCCAUCCUCUCUUCCAUAGCCGUCGAACUCACCACCUCCAUUUCUUCUCCAAACUACCGUCGAACUCACCACUCCUCUCCUCUGUUCAAAAUCGCGGGCUUCCCUUUCCAUCAUCUCCAUUCCUUGACACCUCUUGUUUCCUAGCCUGACACCGUUCAUCAUCUCCAUCCCAUCGUCCAUCUCCAACUCCAUAACUACUUUACCUUCCUCAACCAAUUCCAGAAUGGGACGCCUUUGAUGCAUACAGUCUUCACCUCUGGAAAAUUGGAAAAAGGCCUUGUGCUGUUGAAGUGCCAUUCUUCUGAACCUGGAUCCUCUCCUUUCUCAUAUAUUCGGCCGCAGAAGAGGUUGCUCUACAAAGGCCAAGUAUCAUGACACUGAAGGAGCUGAAAUGAAACCAAGAAGAAGGAGAAGUGAUGUUGCACAAUCCGGAAGGGUUGAGAUUGAGAACCUUGGUCAUAUUGAGAUUCUUAUUUGUGCUCAAAUUUGUUAUAUACUACUUGUUACAAUUCUUUUCUCCUUGAUGAAUUGGAAAACCCCCUUUUAGUUAACAUGGUUAUUUUACUAAUUUGAUUGGUUAGUCCUUCUUUUCCCCUUCCUGUUUUCUGUUUUCAUUUUUUCUUUCUCUUAUGGGUCAACCAGUUACAAAAGGACCCUCUGUUAGUCAUUAUACCAAGCUGUUAUUUUCCUUAUAGGUUUAUAGGCUUAUAGUGCUAUAGCGUGGCAAAUGCAUAGUUGGUGCUAACUUCUGUUUUAAUAUUUUUUGCCGUCACUCCAAUCUCAUUUCUGUCGAUGAAUCUAUUAUAAUGUCAAAUUGGUCGUGUUUUAUACUUAACAGCUUGUCUGAUAUUUCAGUUGAUAUAUGCUCAUUUCAAAUGCAUCAUCUUUGUACAGCUAGUUUAGAUCUGGUUCACUUGCCAAUAUACUUCUGAUUCUAAUGAGGUGGUCAUCAUGGCAGGUUUCUUGUAGCUUUCUCUGGGAAGUAUCUGAAGUAUGAUUACUGUGUUCCUUCUCCACAUAACUGGUCUGAAGACAAUAUUUCGUGUGUUUAUGACCUCAAACAGAAGAAUGUCUCUUUAGGCCUGCAUUUAUUGAGGUAGUCAUUGACCUCUUGCUCUGUUUCCUUAACUGCUCCUUGACAUGGAUGCUUUAUUUGCUAAUGCUAUGUUUCUUAACUUGUACAUUAGGAACACUUUAUGUUGGCCAUAGCCCAUAACUACUGUUGGGCCUGUUGAAUGUGUAUGUUUGCUUUUAGAUUUGUUAACUUCUGAGACACUUAUCACAAUUGAAUUUUGCCUGCAUGGAGUGAGAUUCUAGAAUAUCGUCUAAACAAAUUAGGAAACAUAAGAAACUUUAAUCUUCACAGUUCAGUACUUUGAGCAUAAGCCCUUUGUAUAAUUUGGGUGCCAUUUUUGGUCGGUAAUUCCUUUUUGUAUUUUUUACUGGUAUAAUUUUCUUAUAAAUGAGUUUUAGGCAUCAUAAGAUCACCAUAGUGAAGCUUGCCACACUGUAGCAAUAGCAUAUCCAUAGAAAGUCACUUCCCUUUAUUGAAUUCUGCACUUUAUCUUUUUUCUUUAUACUUAACUGCUUCUAAUAUGAAGUACAUGUAAUUUAAGUUAGGAUGCUCUCUGCCUAACAGUUGCUGAAUUUAUAGUUUUGUAACAUUUAUUAUUAAUGUAUUGCUGAAUUUAUAUAUUCUAGUCUCCAACCAAACAUAUUUUAUCUCUGGACAGUGACAUUUUAUGUAAAUUUGGUGGAUGUUUUAGCUGUGAUCCUUCAAUUUACAUGGGUUACAGCUUAUUGGUUUAGCACUUCCCCUGGCUGUUAAAACUCCAAGUAUAUUUUGAUGAGGUUUUUAAAAGAGAAUGAAUAUGACCUAACAAUAGCACUUCCGAUGAGGCCACCCUAGUGGAAGGUGUAUCCUUUUGGUCUUUUCAAUUUCAUGUCAAUCUUGAUAUCCAUUUUUUCUCCUUCAUUGUUCAAUAAAUUCAGGCUCCAUUUCGAUUUGAUCAGUGGAAUAUUAUUUACUUCUACAGGAUUGAUUUUAUGAUGUGUGUGAGAGUAAUGGCAGGUGAUUAUAUCCUUUCUUAACUUGGCCUCGCCGCGAUGGUCCGUGAUCGCGAUUUGAUAACACCGGUGAUUAUAUCCUUUCUUAACUUGGAUUUGAAGGGGGAUAUUGCCCUGUUUAACCUACACUUCCAUUAAUGCCUAGAAAGUUCUACUAGAAAGUCAAUCUUAAUGAUUUCAUAUAUGUUAAAUAUAGGGAGUUUGUUCUUGGGUUAAUACUUAUAUCUCCUUUAUGCAAAUCUCAUUCAUGGAGUGAAUGUUUUUUCAACAAGGUAUGCUUUUGUAGGUGUAUUUCUAGAUUAGGAUGGUUUUGGGGAGAAACAAAGGGACAAAAACCCAUUAUGCAGACAAGAAAUGACAAGAAAUGUCCCAACGAUUGAAGCAGUGGCAAUGUUUUUGCACAUCCUUGCUCACAACCUAAAGUACAGAGUAGUGCACUUUACCUGUUAUAGAUCCAAAGAAACAAUAAGUAGGCAAUUCAACAAUGUCCUACGAGCUGUAAUGAAAUGCAACUAUGUUUGGAGUUUCAACAGAAUCAAUGCAGUUAUCAUAUGACACAAGAGGGAACAGUGUGCCGACAAUUUUGUUACAAAUGCAAAGGCACUUGUAGGCCCAAGGAGGGUUGCAGGCAGAGGGGAUUUUCAGAAUUAAUACAGACAAUACUCACACUGAAGCUUCCCUUCUUGACUGGGCUAUUAAUCUGAUGGUUGAUGUUGUCCAAGAGGAACAUCUGAGUAAGAUGAAUGCACACAAUAUUGCCAUGGUUCCAGUAAACUCAGUUUCUCCAGGAAUAGAAGGGAGGAAAAUGCAUACAUAUACUGUAUUAGUCCUUUUCAUUUUUGUUAUAAGAUUGCAGAUCAUAGUUAAAAUAUUGCUAAUGUAAUUUUUUAUCUUAUGCUCAAAGACGGAAGUGAAAAUUUUUAAUUU